CGUGUAGGCGGUUUAUUAAGUCUGAUGUGAAAGCCCCGGGCUCAACCUGGGAAGUGCAUUGGAUACUGGUAGACUUGAGUACGGGAGAGGGCAGUGGAAUUCCCAGUGUAGGAGUGAAAUCCGUAGAUAUUGGGAGGAACACCGGUGGCGAAGGCGGCUGCCUGGACCGAUACUGACGCUGAGACGCGAAAGCGUGGGGAGCAAACA
rnacentral:rRNA from 1 species